rnacentral:lncRNA from 1 species
CUGAAGAACUCGAGAAACGAGCUGAAGAAUUAGAGCAACAGACCGAGGGGCUCAAAAAGCAGACUGAAGAGCUCGAGCUGAGCUCCGCCCAGAUCCUCGCUGCUGGGUUUGACGCUGCCUUGGAACAAUUCGCCUGCCAGUACCCUGACUUGGAUCUCUCCAUGGUGUCGCUAAACAAUGAAGUGGUGGAUGGGAAGAUCGUUCC